GGACUACACGGGUAUCUAAUCCCGUUUGCUCCCCUGGCUUUCGCGCCUCAGCGUCAGAUGGGGUCCAGCACGCCGCCUUCGCCACCGGAGUUCCUGUGAAUAUCAACGCAUUUCACCGCUCCACUCACAGUUCCGCAUGCCCCUACCCCCCUCGAGGCCGCCCGUAUCCGAGGCAGUUCCACGGUUAAGCCGUGGGAUUUCACCCCGGACGCGACAGCCCGCCUACGCGCCCUUUAAGCCCAGUGAUUCCGAACAACGUUCGCACGGUUCGUCUUACCGCGGCUGCUGGCAC
rnacentral:rRNA from 1 species